rnacentral:lncRNA from 1 species
UUUUUUUGAAGUCACCUGGGAAUAACAUGGCACAAGAAGGAACUGAGUUCACCUUCUACUCUCUUCUUUUCCCCAUCAUCUCACUUGUUUUACCUCCAUUCCCACAGCUAUCUCCUGAUGGUUGGAAAAUACUUUUUUUUUUUUCUUUUAGGAUUUAGUACUGUGACAAGAGUUAAUCAUCUGUGAAAGCUUCUGGACUGUUUUGUUUUGUUGGGUUUUUUUAUCUGUCCAUUACUGAUUUAGUAUCUUGCCAAACCUCUCAAUUCUCAUAAUACAAAGAAAACGUACCAUGGCUUUUCAGAACACAGUUUUGUUUUCUCGCUUCUUUCUAGAGUUGUUUAUCUUCUCUUUUGAACACAUGUCCAGUAACAUUUUUUUCUCCAAUGCUUAGACUAAAAGGUUUUUAAGAGGCAAGAGCUGCAAACUCAACCUUAUUCACCUGCCUGUCCCAGAGUUCAAGCACAGACAUGGACAGGGAAGUUUGGCCACACUAUGCUUGUGUUUCCAGGCAACCGUCAUGUUAAUCAGGAGCAUCCAACUGUGCUUGAUUAUAUCUAGUAUUUGAAGCAGAAAAGGAACAUAAAAUAGUUACUCCAGGGAACAGACUUGCAAAGUUUUAUUUGGCUGCCUGGCUUCAGUGAGUAAUGCUUUGAUAAGGGAUUAUUCCUGUUUUCAUUGUUAUCAAUCUCCAGUAUAAAGAUUGGGCAAAUAAAACUUUCAUGUCUGGGCUGGUAAAUUUGCAUGGCAAUUUUGCAAAUCCAACCAAAGGGAGACUUUGUUUUGUGAGCCUUCCUCUUUUUUUUUUUUUCUUUCUUAGGAGUUUGCCUCCAGAGCUUGCUUUUUUUUUUCCUGAGCCAUCAGAAACUGAUGAGCUGUUUCACCUUCUGCUCAGUAGGCUGCUUUCUAGCUAGCUGAGGCUUAUACUUAAUUACAGUUUAGAUAUGUGUGGAUACUUUGAUUGUCUGCUGUCAGUCAACAAAAUCCUUGUACUUUUCUGCUUCACAGCCUGUGAACCUCACAAGCACUUCAGAUUUGAAUCAUGGUCAUUGAGAUUGGCAAAUUCUGUAUCCUUUGCUUCCUCCUUCGACAGUUUGGGACCAAAUCAUGAAUUCAAAUCUUGGUGUACCAUGCUUUCUCAGCUGUAUAACUCAUGGAAAUCAGUGAGAUGCUGCCCUUGCGUUUUAAUCAAGAUGAACUUGAAAGGUGAACAUUCGUAUCAACAAUGGAGGAUAUAAUUUGGAAGAUGAAAUGUGAAGAUACAAGUACUAUGCUCACAUGCUGAAGUUUCCUCAGCUGGAGGGAAUUCUGGUGGAAAUUGGGAAUAAUGCUGGAUUACUGUUUUCACACAAAAUGGAUAAGAAGAUUUUUCUCUUUUUUUUGGUAAUAAUAAAGAAAUAUCUGUGAUAAUUUAUCCCA